UAGUCAACCAGGAUGCAGAACAAUCCCACACAAUCAAUGCAGCUGAACCAACCCAAGCCCUUACAAACCAUCAAAACCUGUUACAGAGUCCCGGGGAUGACCUGACAUUAUCCCAGCUAUUCUCGGAAACCUUUCAUACACCUGCCACAUCCAGAAGCAACACGGAGGACAUGGUCUCCCUUCAGCGUCAGCUUUUGGAGGAAGUUAAAAUGCUGAGGCAUACUCCGGAGCAACUCCUGCAGGUGGAGAGGGAAAAGCUGCUCGUCGAGAGGGAGAAGCUUCACCUUGCCCAAGCCAAGUUUGAUUUAAAAAAAAAUGAAUGUUGAACCUAGAAUAAAAUAGCAAUCACUCAGA